rnacentral:rRNA from 1 species
CGGGUGGUAAUGCCGGAUGUUCCACAUGAUCGCAUGUGAUUGUGGGAAAGAUUCUAUCGGCGUGGGAUGGGGUCGCGUCCUAUCAGCUUGUUGGUGAGGUAACGGCUCACCAAGGCUUCGACGGGUAGCCGGCCUGAGAGGGCGACCGGCCACAUUGGGACUGAGAUACGGCCCAGACUCCUACGGGAGGCAGCAGUGGGGAAUAUUGCACAAUGGGCGCAAGCCUGAUGCAGCGACGCCGCGUGAGGGAUGGAGGCCUUCGGGUUGUAAACCUCUUUUGUUUGGGAGCAAGCCUUCGGGUGAGUGUACCUUUCGAAUAAGCGCCGGCUAACUACGUGCCAGCAGCCGCGGUAAUACGUAGGGCGCAAGCGUUAUCCGGAUUUAUUGGGCGUAAAGGGCUCGUAGGCGGCUCGUCGCGUCCGGUGUGAAAGUCCAUCGCUUAACGGUGGAUCUGCGCCGGGUACGGGCGGGCUGGAGUGCGGUAGGGGAGACUGGAAUUCCCGGUGUAACGGUGGAAUGUGUAGAUAUC